CCUACGGGAGGCAGCAGUAGGGAAUCUUCCACAAUGGACGAAAGUCUGAUGGAGCAACGCCGCGUGAGUGAUGAAGGUUUUCGGAUCGUAAAACUCUGUUGUAAGGGAAGAACAAGUACGAGAGGGAAUGCUCGUACCUUGACGGUACCUUGCGAGAAAGCCACGGCUAACUACGUGCCAGCAGCCGCGGUAAUACGUAGGUGGCAAGCGUUGUCCGGAAUUAUUGGGCGUAAAGCGCGCGCAGGCGGCCUUUUAAGUCUGAUGUGAAAGCCCCCGGCUCAACCGGGGAGGGUCAUUGGAAACUGGAAGGCUUGAGUACAGAAGAGAAGAGUGGAAUUCCAUGUGUAGCGGUGAAAUGCGUAGAGAUGUGGAGGAACACCAGUGGCGAAGGCGACUCUUUGGUCUGUAACUGACGCUGAGGCGCGAAAGCGUGGGGAGCAAACAGGAUUAGAUACCCUGGUAGUCCACGCCGUAAACGAUGAGUGCUAGGUGUUGGGGGGUUUCCGGCCCCUCAGUGCUGAAGCUAACGCAUUAAGCACUCCGCCGUGGGGAGUACGGCCGCGAAGGCUUGAAACUCAAAGGAAUUGACGG
rnacentral:rRNA from 1 species